CACGUUGAUCGGAAUGUCUUUCGUUACCGCUGUAUUGCCCCCUCGCUUGCUCUGGUGGACUACUGCUCUAAAACUAGACCAGUGGCAUGGAAACAAGUCCUUGAAGAUAUGCAUGUUUACAUAUGCAUGUUCACGGCACAUCAUACAUACUAUUUGGGCGUGAGGCUGUGUCGGAACUGGAUAAGUCCGAAUAUUGUCCCAAUUACUGAAUAUCAAUAAAAUAAAAUAUGAUCAAGAUAAUGCUGAGUAACAGUAGAUCAUUGGCCAUAUCGCAACGGAGAAAAAGUUUUCCUGGGAACGCCGAUGAGAAAGUCCGUUGUGAAGCUGGGGUGUAUGCGUGGUUACAGCAGGAGUGUCCAUCUAUCCCAAUUCCGUAUUUACAUGGCUUCGGCUUAUCGAACGGUCUACAUUUUAGAUCUGUGAGAAAUUUUCCCUUGUUAUCUCGAUGGGCGCAGAAGUUCCGCCAGGCCCUGUUGUCGUUGUGGCACCGUCAGCGACCCUCCAACUAUAUCCCGACCCACGCCUUAACGCUUCCAAAUUCAAUUGGGUCACAUUUGGUGAUGGAUUAUAUUGAAGAGUAAGAAGGACAAAUGCUGUCUGAAACAUGGGACGAGUAUCGGGAAGAUAAAAAGCGUCUUACGAAUCUCUUCCAUGGGCUGUCAGGUCUAUUGCUACAAAUGAGUCGAAUCAAAUUGCCAAAAAUUGGAUCUUUUAUUAUCGAUGAUACCGGCUUUCUCAGGUUGGCGAAUCGACCACUUACCUCGAUGCUUCAAGAAUUAGAAAAUGCAGGGGUUCCAAUGCAUAUUGCGAGGGACCGCACCUUCACAAGUGUAAUUAUUGCAUACGUCGCUGAUCUCCUCGCAUAUCAUGACAAUCAGCUUCGACAAAACGCAAAUGCUGUCAAGGGCUUAGGUGACUAUGUCAGUCAAAUGUGUGCGCUAACAAUCAUGAAAGCUGUAGCACCACAAUUUUAUAAUCAUGACUAUGGCGCUGGUCCGUUUGUAUUCUCCUUGACUGAUCUACACCAGAGCAAUAUCUUUGUCGACAAAGACUGGAACGAAACCUAUAUAAUCGACCUGGAAUGGGCUGCUUCCCUUCCUGUUGAGUUCAUCCAGCUGCCGCACUGGUUGGCUGGCAAAGAGGUUGAUGGAGUCGAACUGGACCUUUACACCGCCUACCUUGAAGAAUAUGUGGGCAUUCUAAGAGAGGGCGAAAAGAAGGUGGACGAAGCUGAGAGUCAUCCAUUUAAGUUGUCUCACACUAUAGAUUCCGGGUGGAAGGUGGGCACAUUUUGGUUUAACCUCGCUCUGCGGAGUCCGCCUGCAAUGCAUUCACUGUUCUACAACAGGAUCCAACCUCAGUUCGCCUCGCAACACUUGAAGGAUCAGGAAUUUUAUAAGGUUGUCGCAUUCUACUGGUGUCGCGAAGCCAGUGCCUUCAUUCGGACAAAGUGCAAUGACAAAAAAAAAAAAAAAAAAAAAAAAAAAAAAAACCAUGAUAUCCGGCUUAAGGAGGCAUUUCAGAGCAACGAUUAGGUACAACAACCGAUGUAUCCCAGUGUGGUCCAUCCAACAUCCAACUUCUGCCUCGCCUGCGCCUUGAGGUGCAUGGUUUCAACAGUCCCUCCCAUAUCCAUACGACAAUUCAACUAUUGUCUCUUGAUUUUACCAUUUAUCCACUUGCGUUGAAAUAUUGCUCCGUCUGCAUGUGCAGGUAUGUAUUUUCUAGGACUCUCUCUAACGCGUUCCGUGCCUUUUUCUCGACAUAUUCUCGAAUCUCGAUGAAGGCGCCGAUUCUCCUUUUUCCAAAACCUUCUCUGCGUUCUUUGGUUUCCUAUCUCCGCAUAAUCGAUAUAGUGGAAAAAGGGGGGCCGUCCCAGCACACUCUUAGACAUACGCCAGAAACCAACGUAGACUGUCUUCAAAAUGCCUGCCUGACAUCAUUUAUGGUCCUUCUCCGUCAAAAAUGUGAACGCCAGGCUUGUCGGAUUCAAUUGAUUAAUUCGGCCUCACACAGCUCAAUGAGUUAGGUUAGAUGGUAUCCCCCAACUGCUAAAUACAGCAUAGCAGCGAUCACAGAGUGCUGCUUCUUACAUAAAACGCUUGUAAAUGGGAUGGGGAGAGAGAGGUACAUGUAUACGGGAGGCGCAGAGUUAAAAAAAACCAGUCGGUCCUUGUGAGACAACUUGAGCAAUAAUUUAGCACCUCGAUAACCCCAGUCCCAAUGCCCAAUGGUCAAAAGUUGUGAGAGAGCUUGACGCCUUGGUAUUUAAAACAGCACAGCUUUUAGCUAAGGCAUUGAAUUGAGUCCGUCUUAAACUAACCCCCCAAAUCUGUUGGGGAUUACUACAACUACUAUAUAGUUCUGCCAUGUAUAUAUCCCUACGCCUCCGUAUAGUACAUACAGUACAUGCUGUACAUUACAAUUGGGGGAUUUGUUCUGCCAGCACCAACACACAGCUGGCGGCCAGGAUAGUAUAGCGGGCCAUGCAAAUAAACACGAAUGGCAGCCCAACCGCGUUAAAUGAAUCCGCUUUCAUGUAUACUCACACGAUCCCCGGAUAUAAGAACUUAUAAUAAUCGAGGUAUUAACAAACAAACAAAAUAACGCACGUGCAAAAGCGGCCCAGUCGAGAAUCGAAGUCCACUGUUACCUGUACAUAUACAUACAUAUUCAUGCUCCAGUUACCAAACAAAAAGUCAAUGAACGACCUGAUUUGUCUGAAAAGAAACUACGAGUGACUGCGACGUCGAAAGGGGCUUUAUUUUAUGAUAUAUGAUAUAUGGGUAUUGUAACAACUAUCGUAUACACACACGAGUGACAAGACGCAGAAGUUUUAAGUAAUGGUAGGGAGGAUAAUGCACUCGAACCCAUAGCAACCAACCCCCAUCCAGCCAUGAAAAAAAGUAAGAAAAAUAAAGACAAAUACAAAAUACAAAAAGGGUGAGACAACACGAAAGGGGAAUAUGGGAGGAACGUGCUCGAGGGAUUACCAUUCAAUUUAUUUUGUAAUACGCGGGGAAAACAGGAAGAAACGAAAAGAAAGAAACGAAACAAAAAAAAUAAAAUAAAAUAAAAUAAAAAAAAAACAAUAGAAAAAAAAAAUAAAAAUUAACGGCAAAAAAUUAAUAGCCGCAGACGAGAGAUAUGUAUGGAAACGAAGCAAUCUCUUACACCAUCAACAAAGCAGUUACAACGAGCAUCGACGCGCCGACGACGGGGUAUCUAGCCUGUAGGCCAACAGCGGCGUUCCCACUACCCGGUUUGCUAGACUUGCCAUCUACAGCUCCAGAUCCCGGCUCAGCACCGCCAGAUGAUCCAGUGCCUGCAUUCUGGCUACCGGAACCGUCCAAGCCAGGCCCUUUGCCAGCACCUUUCAUGAUGUAUUGCUUAGCCGGCUCAGGGAUGGCGGGAAGGGUGUCACCAUCGACAUCCCAGUCGGGAGCAUUCUUCUUAGGACAUGGGUUGGCUCCACCAGUUUUGUUGUACCCACCAUCACCGUCUGGGUUCUUGGUGGCAGCAAAGGCUUUCUUCAGCGUGUCGAAAUCUUUGAGAGGCACAGCCUUGCCGUCCUCGAGUUUGACUAAACCGUAGUUAUUGGGUUCCUGGGAAUACUCAUAGACGAGACCACCAGAGUAGACGCUGGUCAUUUUAUCGGAGUAUAGAGCCUUCACUUCGUUCCAUUCGCGUGUGUUGGUAUUGCACCCGAACUCCGAGAGGAAAAGGGGCAGUCCGUAACCCGAGAAUAGCUCGACCUUCUUGUUCCAGCCGGAUAUUUCGAAGGUGGAUGGAUCACACCACGAAUAAUCAUUGAAAGCAAAGAAGUCGCUGCGCUCGUCGUCGGGGCCGCAGUUCAUGUAUUGCGCCAUCUGGAAGCGGUUGGUGUCGACAUCGGCCGCAGAGUAACCGACAGGGACUGCUCUCAGGCCCUGCUGACGAAGAUAUUGGCGCAUAUCGCGAGUGACCGCCUUGACGUAAGGGGCGGUUUUCGAGGAAGGGCCAUCAUUGACUACUUCGUUUCCAGAGAAGAAAGCCAAUGUGUUGUCGUAUCGGGCGAACAUGUCAACGGUCGCAAAUACGUUCUGGAGGUAGACGUCAUUGUAGGAAGGCUUGGGAUCCUUCCUGUUAAUGGAGUACUUGGGAGUGUUGACAUCGAGGACAAGGUAGAUGCCAGCAUCUGCCAAAGCUGCCAUGCACUCGUCGUGAUUCUUGCUGUUAUCGACAGUGUAAAUACGGAUAGUGUUCAGACCCAGCUCCUUGAAUUUGGCGAUGUCGCUUUUGCAUUCCUCGGCAUCGGCAAUUGGAUCUUUGAGGUUGGAAGCUCCGCCCGGUUGAUAAUCAACUCCACGUAUAUAAAACCGCUUGUCUCCCUGCCAGAAUGCGUUUCCCUUGACCGUGAUGGGAGUAAUCUUGCUCGCUCUGGCGCGCACAUCGCUGGCCACACCGGCGAAAGCGGACGAGGCCCCCAAGACAGCCGCCGUUAACACGGACACAGCUGUGGUUUUCAUAUUGAAGAUUGGGCGCUAAAUCUCCGUAGAGCGCUGUGGAAGGUGUCAAUGAGCAGGUUGUCUUUCCGUCUUUCCUUCUUUCUUUUGCUUUUUUUUUUUUUUUUAAAAAAAAAUUUAAUUAACAAGAUUUUCAGUUCCUGUAUGUAUGGCAACGAAGGACCUGGUAGCGGGUGGGAAGAAGGUUGAUUAAAGCUUGUAAAGAGGGUGAAUUUUUUCCUUUUUAAACGAGAGAAUAUGAAGAGGGAAAAAACACAAGAAGCAGGCGAUGCUGGAAAGAACGAAGGGCAGAGGCGUCCCUCUCGAAGAUGCAAAGGAAGGAG
rnacentral:sRNA from 1 species